GGAGAUUUAGCUCAGUGGUAGAGCACUUGCCUAGCAAGCACAAGGCCCUGGGUUUGGUCCCCAGCUCCG
rfam:Rattus norvegicus chromosome 4, whole genome shotgun sequence.